rnacentral:rRNA from 1 species
CAGGCUUAACACAUGCAAGUCGAGGGGCAUCAGGAAGAAAGCUUGCUUUCUUUGCUGGCGACCGGCGCACGGGUGAGUAACACGUAUCCAACCUGCCCUUUACUCGGGGAUAGCCUUUCGAAAGAAAGAUUAAUACCCGAUAGUAUAAUGAUUCCGCAUGGUUUCAUUAUUAAAGGAUUCCGGUAAAGGAUGGGGAUGCGUUCCAUUAGGUUGUUGGUGAGGUAACGGCUCACCAAGCCUUCGAUGGAUAGGGGUUCUGAGAGGAAGGUCCCCCACAUUGGAACUGAGACACGGUCCAAACUCCUACGGGAGGCAGCAGUGAGGAAUAUUGGUCAAUGGGCGCUAGCCUGAACCAGCCAAGUAGCGUGAAGGAUGAAGGCUCUAUGGGUCGUAAACUUCUUUUAUAUAAGAAUAAAGUGCAGUAUGUAUACUGUUUUGUAUGUAUUAUAUGAAUAAGGAUCGGCUAACUCCGUGCCAGCAGCCGCGGUAAUACGGAGGAUCCGAGCGUUAUCCGGAUUUAUUGGGUUUAAAGGGAGCGUAGGUGGACUGGUAAGUCAGUUGUGAAAGUUUGCGGCUCAACCGUAAAAUUGCAGUUGAUACUGUCAGUCUUGAGUACAGUAGAGGUGGGCGGAAUUCGUGGUGUAGCGGUGAAAUGCUUAGAUAUCACGAAGAACUCCGAUUGCGAAGGCAGCUCACUGGACUGCAACUGACACUGAUGCUCGAAAGUGUGGGUAUCAAACAGGAUUAGAUACCCUGGUAGUCCACACAGUAAACGAUGAAUACUCGCUGUUUGCGAUAUACAGUAAGCGGCCAAGCGAAAGCAUUAAGUAUUCCACCUGGGGAGUACGCCGGCAACGGUGAAACUCAAAGGAAUUGACGGGGGCCCGCACAAGCGGAGGAACAUGUGGUUUAAUUCGAUGAUACGCGAGGAACCUUACCCGGGCUUAAAUUGCAGUGGAAUGAUGUGGAAACAUGUCAGUGAGCAAUCACCGCUGUGAAGGUGCUGCAUGGUUGUCGUCAGCUCGUGCCGUGAGGUGUCGGCUUAAGUGCCAUAACGAGCGCAACCCUUAUCUUCAGUUACUAACAGGUCAUGCUGAGGACUCUGGAGAGACUGCCGUCGUAAGAUGUGAGGAAGGUGGGGAUGACGUCAAAUCAGCACGGCCCUUACGUCCGGGGCUACACACGUGUUACAAUGGGGGGUACAGAAGGCAGCUAGCGGGUGACCGUAUGCUAAUCCCAAAAGCCUCUCUCAGUUCGGAUCGAAGUCUGCAACCCGACUUCGUGAAGCUGGAUUCGCUAGUAAUCGCGCAUCAGCCACGGCGCGGUGAAUACGUUCCCGGGCCUUGUACACACCGCCCGUCAAGCCAUGGGAGCCGGGGGUACCUGAAGUACGUAACCGCAAGGAUCGUCCUAGGGUAAAACUGGUGACUGGGGCUAAGU